GUGCAGGGUUCUGGGUCACGCGCUUGGCUCUGAUUGAAGGAGGUUGCCCACACAUACCCACAGGCAGAAAAACGGAGCCUGCCGUCCCACCCCAUCACCAGGACAAAAGGGGUGAUGGGGUGGGAUCAGCAUUCUUCAUUUCCACAACCUAUCCCGUGGCCCUUGGGUGACUUUUCCUGUGCUCCUCCCCCAAUAUGAUAUUCUCCCCUAGGGAAUAAAUAGAGACACAGAGGAGGAAGCAGGAAAAGAGUCAAUCAUAUAAGAACCAGUGGGAAACAUUUUAUGAGGGACUGGAGAGAAACAGAGAAAGAUUAUACUGGAAAUUGUUGAAAAGAAGAUUCUCCCAUAAAUAGUGAAAAAUAUUCAUUCCCCAUGUGGUCAACACAGCAGGAUUCUGGACUCCCACUUGUCAUCCCACAAGUACCUGUCCAGUGUUAUAUGUUGACCAACUGAUCCUGGACAAAUCUCGGCUGUCUCCAUUUUAAAUUGAAAUGCCCACAUCCCAGAAAGCCCCUCAGUCUGAGACACUGACUUCUCUCCAGGACAAGAAAGUGUCGGUGGUCCCUGUAUCAUCACAUCCUCUCUGUAGAGCAAGAAAUUUACGGCAUCAUCUUGCUGGUAGCUGACUUGGCAGCAGGCUGACCCAACAGUGGCAUAACUUAUACAUAUGGCCUCCCAAUUCAAAGUCUAAGCAUUAUAAGGAAUACAGAGUCCUUCUCCCUUUCCUCACAUUCAUGAACUUUAAAACUGAAAAGUCUUGGAUUUCUGAAUGCUUUGGCUACAGCACGUUUUUGUUUUGGUGUCAAUAAGUGCACUUUUAAAAAUAUCUAUCCUAAAAUGAAUCACCUCCAUAUCAAUCAGUAUUUGCCAGGCUGCAUUAGGUUUUGAGAUCACAUUGCUUUAAUCAGAUUAUAAUGUACUCAUACCCACAUUCCACUGCUCCAGAAAAUUCAGUCUUUCCACCAGAAUCUGUCCCAAAAGGUUUCUGGAAAUGCCCUAGAGAUGUUUCUCCACUACCCAGUCCUUGGAAGACCAGCAAUCUGCCACCAGGCCCCUGAUGGUCCCCGGCCCAUGAAGCCUGGCUCAUUCCACAAUCUCCUUGUCUCCCAUUUUCCUACUCCCUACGCCCAGCCUCCUCCCAAGUGUGAACACAGACUCUUUUACCUAAUCACCACCGCAGCCCUGAGAACCUGAUAUAAAUGUAGCAGGAAACCAAGGGGAAGUGCCAGCUGAAUAAUGUAACUGCUCCUGCGUGGGACCAUUCUCAGUAUAGGGUGACAUCAAGUUGUGAAUGGUAGCAAAAACUUCAUCAUCAGAUAGGUACGAAUUCUGCCCCUAGUAGUUGUGUUACCCUGAAACCCCCAUCUAUGCUCCCUGAGAUGGCUCCCUCAUCUGUAAGAUGAGAAAAAUGAAAAAUAGUAUCUAGCCCACAUGAAAACUGAUAUAUGAAUGUCCAAACAGUGGAAACAUCCCAAAUGCCCAUCAGCAGAUGAAUGGAUCAACAAAACGUGGCCAUAUUUAGCAAUGGAAUAUUUUUUGGCAAAAAAAGGAACGAAGUACUGAUAUACACUACAGCAUCAAGGAACCGCUAAGUGAAAGAAGCCAGUCACAAAAGACCAUACAUCACAUGAUUCAGACGAAGUGCCCAGAAUGGGAAAUCUACGGAGAAAGAAAGAUCAGUGGCUGCCUAGGGCUGGGGAUGGAGGUGAGUAGGAAGGAAAUGGGCAGUGACUAUUAAUGGGUAUAAGCUUUCUCUGUAGGAUGACAAAAAUGUUCUAAAAUUAGAUUAUGGUGAUGGGCAAACAACUCUGUAAAUAUACUAGAAAAAUCCAAUGAAUUGUACAAUUUAAAUAGGCUAUGUAAAUUAUAUAUCAAUAAAGCUAU